ensembl:lncRNA
UUUUUUUGUCUUAUUAAUGUCAAGAGAGAGAGAGAUAAAGGUAUGGAAGCUUAUUUCCACUACGUAUGAGAAAAUGUUAUGCAGAAUGAUCUCACAAUUACCUUCUUUUUAUCUCACAUCCUGUUAACACACUCUCCAGGAGUGGCCCAGCCCCGCUGAAAAGAAUACUUCACUUAGGUUAUAUUGCCUCGCAACACAUUGCUAGGUUUUUGUUGUGGAUUGAUUAUGGGAAACGGAAGCACAGAGUCACAACUGUUAAAUAUUAACUCGCAGGUGAAACGUACAGUCGCAAUUGUGUGAAAAUAACGAGAUUUUUAGAGCUGCUAUAACAUAAAACGGGAACCAACUUGAUUCUUGGAUGUUCCACAACAUUCAACAUAUUAAUAAAUGAGUAAAAAUCACAUAUUCUUUAAUGAAUUAAUAUCCCACUUCAUCUCAGGCCACAUCACACCACCCCACCAUUGAAUACUUUCCUAUAACAUGCUCCCAAAGUGCUUUAUUCCUUAAACAAAACCAUAUGUCCUUCUUCUAAUGAACUCACUCAAACAUUUUAAAAAGAAGUCAAACAUCAGAUAUCCACGAAGACUGUGGAAGCAAAUUGUAGUAGUAUCUGUGGUACCUGCUCCUCUUUCAAUGUUCAUAAGGUGUAGUCUGCUCUAGUUUUAGCUGUUCAUGUAUUGUUCUUGUUUAUUGAUAUGAUGUUUGGUUAUGCUAACUGUACCCCCCCCCCCCUCUAGUUGACUUAAUUUAACCAAUGUUACUUCAUUAAUUUUGUGACUUACAUACUGAUAUCUUUCUAGUUCUAGGUUCAAGUUUGCAGUAACUGUCUAAAAUAUGAUUUAGUAUAACCUAAUUAUGACAUGAAAUCCAUGUAAUUGCUUCAGAAUUGAAGUAUAAACACUGAAAUGCUUAUUUUACCAGCCUAAUGGCUUCACCUAACUGCAAAAUCUAUCACUGGCAAACAUGGCUGCGCUUCCACAGCACAGAACAGUGUAAACUUUAAAAAAAAAUUUUUUGUGACUAACCUCAUUAACACACCAUUCAUUUGAAAUUGAAGGUAACAUUUUAUUUAAAAAAAUAAUAAUAAUGUAACAUUACAGUUUCUGCAUAAACCGUGAUCAAAGUUGAACUUCAAACUUCUGCAGUGUUCAGAAAUAACUAGCAGUUAAGCCUUACGUACCAGAUGAGGUAGACGCUUCCCCUCUUCAGGAAAAUAAUUAAGCAGAAAUAUUUAACAUUAGCAAUGGAGUGUGGUUAAUUUUCUUAGUUAAAGCAGUUUUGUAUAUGAAAGUUCUACAAAAAUAAAGACUUUGUUAUUUAAAAAAGUAGUAUAUAUAUAUAUAUAUAUAUAUAUAUAUAUAUAUAUAUAUAUAAAAUACAUAUUUAAAUGGAUAUAAAAAAAAAGUUUUCAAUUUAAACAAAAGGGAUGUGGCUGUACACUACUAGUCAAACGUUUUGGAAAAACUAGGGCUUCUUAUGAUUACAUUACAUCCAUAUCACAGCACUGUUGAACUCUUGAUUCUGACUGGGUCAAGUUCUCCGACACAGGAAUGUCGGAAAAAUGAAGGACAUUGUACUUUGUCAGUAACAUGACACGUUUCAUUGUCUUAUUAACUUCAAGAGAGAGGACAAAAAGAGAUCCUGGUGAGAGAACUGGUUAUAGCUGUUACAAUUUAAACGAUACCAGGAACAAGCUAGUUGCAUGGAUGUUUCACCCCAUUAAAUGCAACUAUAAAUGGAUAAAAAUGAUGUGGAAAUUCACUAACAAAAAUAUACAUGAUUUGGAUUACAAAAAUAUGCAUUUUCGAAACUUUGACGGUUAAAGUAAAUGGUUCUGUUACGAUAGCCGUGAAAACCGUGCUCCAUAGUUAGGGAUAAAAACAACUUACAUUUUGUAAUAAGCGAAAAACCCCAAAACAAAACAAAACAAGCACCCUAACAUUUUGAAGUGAAAUAAAUAAAUAAAUAAAUAAAUCAAUCACAGAUGGUCUCUCUUUCUCUUCUUUUUGAGUUUUGCACUGUCGGUCCAUGAACACCAAUUUGACUUGCCAGAGACAGCGACUUUUUCAGCUCCGAGUGUGGCAUCUAGAUCAUUAUCUGGGUCUCUUACUUGCUUCUUUUUCUUAAUAUGUACUAAUAAUGCACCCCCUGAGGAUGAAAUACUGUCCUUUUUAGCAUGGCAUGUGUCUAAAGCAUCUCUUGAUUCUUCUGCAGCAAAUAGCUUAGGUACAACAUCUAAAAUCUGAUUCCCACCUCUAUCAACUGUGUCCUUUCUAUUCUUUUUCUUCUUCUCCUUCUCAAUUAUUGCUUCUGAAGGUUCUGAUGGAGAACCACUCUCCUGCCACAAUUCAUGUUCAACAAUCUCAGGAUACACUUCUAUGUCUGUUUCUACCCAUUGCUGCUUCUUCUUCUUCUUCUUCUUUUUCCUUCCAUUAGGCUGUAUGGUAUCCUCUGACUGCAGUACUUGUUGGCUACUUUCAGAACGGUCAUCUUUGGUCCUCUCACAUUUGUUUGUCUCAUUGGUGUCAUUUUGUCCACUACUUGAAGCUUCUUUCACUACUCUUGUCUGUUUAGUAUUUUGCCAAUGGGAGUCAUCCAGAUGCAACAAGCCGUGAGAAACCGACCACGAUCCAUCAUUUUCCAACUCUUUCCUUUUCCUCUUCUUUUUCUUCUUCUUCACUGGUUCUGAUCCACCAACACCUUCCUCCUCACCAAUCCCUCCAGUCUCACUUCUGGUGCUUGGGGUAUUGGAUGUUGUCAUCUCUAUGAGAUCAAGUCUGAGAGACACGGAUGCAUUUUUAGACGUCUCCUCUUCUUGAUGCGUUUUAAUUCUGCCCUUUUUCUUCUUUGGCUUUCUCACCAGAACCACCUCAGCUGCUUGCUGCUCAGAAUCUUGAGUAUUUGGAGCCUCCACUUGUUCUGUCGUCUCUACCAACAAUGCCUCAACGUCCAUAUUUUCUUCCCUGACCACCUUUUGCCGUUUCCUUUUUUUCCUCUUCUUCCUUUGAGUUAUAGAGUGAUCUGUCAAAUCUAUGCUAUUCACUGGUUGGAUUUCUAUGCCUGCUGGUAUUUCGGGGAUUUUCUCCAACGGUUCUCCAAUAUUCUUACUGGCCGUAGCCAUCUCUCCUACUUGUCCUUCUCCAACAUCAUCUAUAAACAUUUUCUUCUUUUUCUUGACAGUUUUGAUACCAUGGCUUGAAUAAGAUUCUUCACUACACUGCCAAGCCACGAUCUCAGUUAUCACAGGACUUGAAUCCUGUUUCGUCUUCGCCCUUUUCUUUUUCUUUUUCCUUUGUGGUUCAAGACAAUCAGACUGAACAAAAUUAGAAAGAUCAGUUCUGGUCAGCUGCUCAGUUUCCUCAGCUAUAGACACCAAAGAAGCUGAACCUUGACAGGGGAUCUGGAUAGCCUCCUCUACACCAAUCCAUUCAUCUUCCUGAGGCACUGGUUGACCAUGUUUGUCUUUUUUUCUCUUUUUCUUUGGUUUAAUUCCAUUCACUGAAGCACAAACCACUGAAGAGUCCUGAACUGAUAGACCAGAGUCUGCAGCAACACUGAUGUCUGGCAAGGUGUCAACUGGUUCCUCCAACAACCGAUCAUUUUUGUCCUUUUUUCUCUUUGGUUUACUUCCACUAACUGAAGCACAAACCACUGAAGAGUCCUGAACUGACAGACUCGAGUCUGCAGCAACACUGAUGUCUGGCAAGGUGUCAACUGGUUCCUCCAACAACCGAUCAUUUUUGUCCUUUUUUCUCUUUUUCUUUGCUUUACUUCCACUAACUGAAGCACAAACCACUGAAGAGUCCUGAACUGAUAGACCAGAGUCUGCAGCAACACUGAUGUCUGGCAAGGUGUCAACUGGUUCCUCCAACAACCAAUCAUUUUUGCCCUUUUUUCUCUUUGGUUUACUUCCACUAACUGAAGCACAAACCACUGAAGAGUCCUGAACUGACAGACUCGAGUCUGCAGCAACACUGAUGUCUGGCAAGGUGUCAACUGGUUCCUCCAACAACCGAUCAUUUUUGUCCUUUUUUCUCUUUGGUUUACUUCCACUAACUGAAGCACAAACCACUGAAGAGUCCUGAACUGAUAGACCAGAGUCUGCAGCAACACUGAUGUCUGGCAAGGUGUCAACUGGUUCCUCCAACAACCAAUCAUUUGUGCCCUUUUUUCUCUUUGGUUUACUUUCACUAACUGAAGCACAAACCACUGAAGAGUCCUGAACUAAUAGACCUGAGUCUGCAGCAAUACUGAUGUCUGGCAAGGUAUAAACUGUUUCCUCCAACAACCGAUCAUUUUUGACCUUUCUUCUUUUUUUACGCUUGACGUCAUCAAAGUGAAGUGCAGAAUAUUCAUUCUGACCCAAAUCAGCUUGUCUUGGUGCCAGGUUAUCUGAGAUCUCAGGGUCUUUAGUCUUUUUAUUUUUCUUCCUCUUCAGAAAUUUCAAUCCACCAAAAUUGAACAGUGGGGUCUCGGUCUUCUCUUCCUGUCUGACCAUGAGGAUAUCCUUACUACAACUUGAGUAAUCAUUUCCUAUGGAUCCUGAUUCGUAAUCCUCUAAUGGCAGUGAUGAAUGAUGGUGUGGAUCUUGCAUAUCCAAUGUCGUCUUGUCCUUUUCCUUUCUUACCUGGCAUAUAUCUCCAGCUGUUGGUGAGACUAUUUCACUCGGGUGAGUCCUCAGAGAUUUGGAAUAUUUAAGAAAGUCACCCUCCAUAUCUUCCAAGAUUAAUGAACCCUUUUUCUUUAUUAUCAAACCUAUGUCAUCAUGUGGUACUACAAUGCUUUCUAAGACUUCCUUAUCAUUUUCAACACUAGUCUCUUUUAAAGGACUUGAUUGAUUAUUUGGUUCUUGAAAAAGAUCCUGUGAGCUGAUGAAACCUCCACUAACACUACCAAAGUCUUCGUUUUCCAGUGGCUCGUGAUGUACGCUUUGAUGGAUAUCCUGGACUUGUACUUGGUGUUCACAGGAUGAGAUGUUCUCAAAGCAGAGUGCAUCUUCCUUUCCUUCUUUGUCCGUAGGGUUGUCCUGCAAAAUCUGGGUUUCGUUUCCAAGUGGCUCAUGAUGUACGCCUUGAUGGAUAUCCUGGACUUGUACUUGGUGUUCACAGGAUGAGAUGUUCUCCAAGCAGGGUGCAUCUUCCUUUCCUUCUUUGUCCGUAGGAUUGUCCUGCAAAAUCUGGGUUUCGUUUCCAAGUGGCUCAUGAUGUACGCCUUGAUGGAUAUCCUGGACUUGUACUUGGUGUUCACAGGAUGAGAUGUUCUCCAAGCAGGGUGCAUCUUCCCUUCCUUCUCUGUCCAUAGGGUUGUCCUGCAAAAUCUGGGUUUCGUCUUCAUCCUGGUCUACCAAAUUUGGCCGCUGCGUCUCCUCGUCUGACGUUUCAUCAAUUGGUUCCAUCCAGUUCCAUUCGGCAGAUUUCCUGCUUUUCUCACCGUUCUCCGUGGACCGAGACACUUCUAUAUUAAGUGAGCUGCUCUCAUUAUAUACAUCUGCAUCAUCUUGAGGCGCCAUCAGGUCUUCAGCAACUUUCCUGGUUUGAGAACACGUCUCCUGCUCCUCUUGACAUUUGUUGCUUUUCUUAGUGCACGUUUCUGGAGCCUGUCUCGUUUUCCAUUUCAGGGAUGGUAGCCAUGUUUGUUGGUUUCUUUUAUGUGUGUUCUCAAUAAAGCAAUCUUUAUCCUAAAACAAAAUCAGACAUAUUGAUUAACAAUAAUAAAAUGUCUGUUUGAUGGCUUGAGAGAAAACUAAAGAAUAACUAGAAAAGAAUGAAACAAUCAAUCAUGACGUUUCUGAAAAGUCAAAUGCUAAAACGACGAUGCAGAAUUACAAAUUUUGACUUCAAAACGGCAUUCAAAUGGAUCCUUGUUACUUGACGAACCUGCCACCCCUGAAGUCACAGAUACAAUGCAGUAAACAGUUUUUUUUUUAAACUUUCAGUCCCUCAAAGAAACCUUGAAAUGGUUCUAAAUGGCAGACAUUUUCACUGUUAAUCUGUUGCUGCUCAAAAAAGUGUUGCACUUACCAUUUAAGUUAUUUGUGAAGUGAUACAUUUGACAAAUUUUUGAACUUUUUCAGUCGAAAAAUUUGGUGUAUCCCUAAAUCACUAAUGCUUAAACUAAUGAGCAUUUGGUAGGAAACGGGGUGGGGCCAGCAAGGGUGUCAGUUAAAACUGCAACUGUCAGUAAUUCCAAAUUCAUAUGUUGAUUGGCUAAUUUGUGGUUUUAUUAGAUUUAUUUGCUCAUUUGCUGUUUUAUUAUUUUUUAAUUAUUAUUCAGGGUUUUUGUCCUAUUCAGUUUUUUGUUGCAUGGCAAAAAGUGAAAACAUCACAACUGUCAAAAUAUAACUGCAAAAUAUACCACUUUUUUAACGUCCUCAUCAUCAUCAUCAUCUUCUGUUUGCAUACUGCUUUCCUUCCGUCUGUAAAUUAAAUCCGAAAAAAGUCAAUAAAAGGACAGACGAAUAAAAUAGAUUAAUAUUGUGUAUUAAUAUGUUCACUCACCUCUUGACUGAAAUGAAAACAGCAAGAGUUUUCUGACAUGGAUUCAAUGUUUAUAACAUUCCUACCACAGCACUACUGUACUCGCAAUUCAGUUUUUUUGCAAGGUGUUGAUUCAUUUCAGCAGCUCCGAUUGUCUUUUCGGCUGCAAUUCCGACGACAGGUUUAUUUUAAUUUGCUCGUUCUAAUACGUUAUGAUAACAAAUGACACCAGGACUUGUAUGCUCGGACGCUCCACAUAAUUGUAACUGUUGAUAAAAUUUCUGUUAGAUGUCGAUUCAUUCAUUUAUUUAUGGAAGGAGUCACCGGUGGCAGCACUCUGUUUUCCACCACAGGAAAGUCUUCAGGACAGAAAAGAUCCUAGUUCCUCAGGAACAUGACAAAAUGAUCAACUUCAAGAAAGGUUGGUGAGGGGACUCAUGGACCUUCAAGAAUGUCAACCCUAACUAUAACUGGUUAAUAAGUACAUAAUUUAUUAGUAUACUGAGUAUAAUGUAAUCUUCGUUAUAGGAAAAUGAUCAACUUCACGGUCCUAACAGUAAGUCCUGCUUACUAAGGCUGCUCCACACCACUACAUUGUAGAUCUUUUUCCUCCAACAGCAUGGCCAAUGUCAAAUUACACGCUUCAACAGAAACAAAUAUAAAACCUACACAAUACUGUAUUCAUGUUUUGUAUAAUACAAUGGUAAACUCACUCAGAAAGCAAUAAAGAUGGACUCAGCUCUCCUCUUCUUUUGUCUCCAUGACCUUUGCUCAGCUUCAAUAUGCAUUUAAAGAACCCACCAACCUCUGAAUUCUGAUAGACGGAAAUAAAAUUAUAAAACGAUUACCUUCACCUUAUAUAGCUGGAACGAAAUGUAAUUUAUCUAAAAUUGAAGAAGAAGAAAAAAAGUUUCCAGACAUUUCCAUUUUCUGAGAAUGCACUUAAAUUGUUGCCAUUCCUUUAACAUUCGGCUGAUAGAUACAGUGCACUCCAUUAAUAUUGGCACCCUUGGUAUAUAUGAGCAAAGACGGCUGUGGUUGUGAUCUUUUGUUAAAAAAAAAAAAAAAAAAAAUUUCACAUAAAAAUACUCUGCUCUCAUGGAUAUCAAACAAUUGCACAAAAUAAGUUUAUCAAAAAAAUAACUUCUAUACAAUAUUUAUUUUUUUUUUAAUUAGAAUAUGUUAUAUACAAAAUAUACAAUGUGCAACAAUUAUUGGCACCACUAUGAGUUCAUGAGAAAAUAUAUUUUAAGUAUAUUCCCAUUGAUAUUUGAAAAAAAAAAAUUGUACAACAAAAUUUUUUUGGAUAAACCCGUGUCGUGUUUGCAAUCGUUUGAUAUCCAUGAGAGCAGAGUAUUUUUGUGAAUUUUUUAAACAAAAGAUCAAAAGUUUCAACAAUAAAGACAAUUUUUCACAGCCUUCUUUGCUCAUAUUUACCAAAGGUGCCAAUAUUAGUGGAGGGCACUCUAUAAGUCUAAAUUAGAUUAAUUAUUAAUUUAAAGUCUUAUUUAUAGAACAAUUUAAAUGAUAAUAGUGUACCAUGGUUUGGGAGGGGGAUGUAAGGCGGUUACAAUAUUCUAAGGUGG